AGUUUCUUGUAGAUCAUCAUAAGGUGGAUUUUAGUGGAUUGAGGGGAAGAGCUCACAAACUAUACUGCCAUCUGUCCCACAGGCUAGCCAAGCUCCCCAGGAAGUGGUGGUAGUGCCAGGCUUCCCCUGCAUCAAUAGACACAGCAGAACUCAACUUGGGAGGAUGGACUGAGCAACAUCAAGCUCAACUAUACAGAGGUAUAAGGAGCACAUAUCGAUAUAUUUCCCUCAUAGGCAACAGUCCCCUGACAAGAAUGUCUCCCAGUGAUGGACUUUCAUGUUACAGGUCAAUGUUGAUUGGCAGAACGGCAGCAUUUAUAAGGUCACAGAAGCCUGUCUGACGGAUAGCAAGCUGAGUGCAAAAAUGCCAGUGAAAUCACACAAAAAGAACAUUUUUGAUAUGUACAUAUUUUAAUACAUUUGUUAUUGUAGAUCCCAAAAUGUGGUACAUUUGAGCAGUUUUAGUUCAUUUGAGGCUGUUAAAUAAAACAUUAACCUUGAAGCAGAAUCAUCAUAAAACGUCGGCAACUGUAUUAGGAUUGUAUUAUUAAAUCAUGUCUGAGUGAAGCAAAAUCCUCCCCAGAUAUUCACUCUUUGCAGCUUGUGUUGUGGAGCUUGAAACUAUUUUAUUAAUUUUAUUAAUGUGACAGUGGGCAACUCAGUAUUACUUUUCUCUGAGCUUUGUCAUCUCUGUAGCUUGUACAGCUUGUGCCAAAUAUAUUUCUCUGUGCUAUAAUAAAAGCAGCAAAUCAUU